GAUGAACGCUGGCGGCGUGCCUAAUACAUGCAAGUCGAGCGAACAGAUGAGGAGCUUGCUCCCCUGACGUUAGCGGCGGACGGGUGAGUAACACGUGGAUAACCUACCUAUAAGACUGGGAUAACUUCGGGAAACCGGAGCUAAUACCGGAUAAUAUAUUGAACCGCAUGGUUCAAUAGUGAAAGACGGUUUUGCUGUCACUUAUAGAUGGAUCCGCGCCGCAUUAGCUAGUUGGUAAGGUAACGGCUUACCAAGGCAACGAUGCGUAGCCGACCUGAGAGGGUGAUCGGCCACACUGGAACUGAGACACGGUCCAGACUCCUACGGGAGGCAGCAGUAGGGAAUCUUCCGCAAUGGGCGAAAGCCUGACGGAGCAACGCCGCGUGAGUGAUGAAGGUCUUCGGACCGUAAAACUCUGUUAUUAGGGAAGAACAAAUGUGUAAGUAACUAUGCACGUCUUGACGGUACCUAAUCAGAAAGCCACGGCUAACUACGUG
rnacentral:rRNA from 1 species